GGGGAUCUAGCUCAGCGGUAGAGUGUGUGCUUAGCAUGCAUGAGAUCUGGGUUCAAUCUCCAGCACCA
rnacentral:tRNA from 1 species